AGGGGCGCAGCUGAUCCAGCAUGCCGCGUGCAGGAUGAAGGCCUUCGGGUUGUAAACUGCUUUUGUACGGAACGAAAAGGCUCUCUCUAAUACAGAGAGCCGAUGACGGUACCGUAAGAAUAAGCACCGGCUAACUACGUGCCAGCAGCCGCGGUAAUACGUAGGGUGCAAGCGUUAAUCGGAAUUACUGGGCGUAAAGCGUGCGCAGGCGGKCUUGUAAGACAGAGGUGAAAUCCCCGGGCUCAACCUGGGAACGGCCUUUGUGACUGCAAGGCUGGAGUGCGGCAGAGGGGGAUGGAAUUCCGCGUGUAGCAGUGAAAUGCGUAGAUAUGCGGAGGAACACCGAUGGCGAAGGCAAUCCCCUGGGCCUGCACUGACGCUCAUGCACGAAAGCGUGGGGAGCAAACAGGAUUAGAUACCCUGGUAGUCCACGCCCUAAACGAUGUCAACUGGUUGUUGGGUCUUCACUGACUCAGUAACGAAGCUAACGCGUGAAGUUGACCGCCUGGGGAGUACGGCCGCAAGGUUGAAACUC
rnacentral:rRNA from 1 species